CACGGAGUUAGCCGAUCCUUAUUCUUACGGUACCGUCAAUAAAUUACUCGUAAUUCUUUUUCUUCCCGUACAAAAGCAGUUUACACACCAUAGAUGAUUCUUCCUGCACGCGGCAUGGCUGGUUCAGAGUUGCCUCCAUUGACCAAUAUUCCUCACUGCUGCCUCCCGUAGGAGUCUGGUCCGUGUCUCAGUACCAGUGUGGGGGAUCUCCCUCUCAGGACCCCUACCCAUCAUCGUCUUGGUAUGCCGUUACCACACCAACUAACUAAUGGGACGCAUGCUCAUCUUAUACCGAUAAAUCUUUAUAAUUCGGCUGAUGCCAACCAAUUAACUAUAAGGUAUUAAUCCGGAUUUCUCCGGGCUAUCCCUUAGUAUAAGGUAGAUUGCAUACGCGUUACGCACCCGUGCGCCGGUCUCUUUGGAGCAAGCUCCAAAUACCCCUCGACUUGCAUGUGUUAGGCCUGCCGUCUAGCGUUCAUCCUGAGCCAGGAUCAAACUC
rnacentral:rRNA from 1 species